UAAAUGUAGCUGUUAGUUUGAGUGUCACGCAUUUGCCGCAUGGUGAGAUUAAUCAGAAACGGUCCCCGGCUAACUUGGCCGUGCUGUCAGUCCAACGGCAACUCUCACGGCAAAGCUAACAUGUUAAGGCUAAUGCGAUGUGGCAAACUUGGGGGCCAAGUUUAUUAACACCGGCUAACCUAGGCCAGUCGGUGUUACCUUCAAAACCGGACAGGAGAAAAGGCUCGCUUGGAAAAGCGCCUACAACUGGCAGGACCUCCGAGUAUCAAGCUGUCUGCCCUUAUGCCUGUAAACAAUAUCUGUAAUAUUAAUGUGUAACAUUAAAAAAAUGUAUGUUUUUAUUUUAUUUUUCAAACAUUAAAAUAAAUACAGUAUAUUA